rnacentral:miRNA from 1 species
UGGCGCUGCAAUGUAAACAUUGCAGCUGUCUGGAACUGCAAUGUUUUACAUUGCAGCACUA